rnacentral:rRNA from 1 species
GACGAACGCUGGCGGCGUGCUUAACACAUGCAAGUCGAACGGAAAGGCCUGCUUUCCCUUGUGGAUUGCGGGUACUCGAGUGGCGUACGGGUGAGUAACACGUGAGUGAUCUGCCCCCAACUUGGGUAUAAGCCUGGGAAACUGGGUCUAAUUCCCGAUAGGACUGCAGGGUGGUGCCUGUGGUGGAAAACGAUUUUCUAGUGGUUGGGGAUGAGCUCGCGGCCUAUCAGCUUGUUGGUGGGGUAAUGGCCUACCAAGGCGGCGACGGGUAGCCGGCCUGAGAGGGUGGACGGCCACAUUGGGACUGAGAUACGGCCCAGACUCCUACGGGAGGCAGCAGUGGGGAAUAUUGCACAAUGGGCGGAAGCCUGAUGCAGCGACGCCGCGUGGGGGAUGACGGCCUUCGGGUUGUAAACUCCUUUCGACCGCGAGGAAGCCACCUGGUUGGAAGGGUGGUGACGGUAGUGGUAGAAGAAGCACCGGCUAACUACGUG